rnacentral:lncRNA from 1 species
GGGAGGCUGGAGAGGCUGGGGCUCCUCACUUCCCUCUUCGGUUGCGCUCAAUUCCUAGACUCCGGGCCCAGAUGGCUCUUCCAACAAACACUCUAAGCACUGAGGGCUUUCCUCCUCUGCUUCUUUUCUUUUUAAUAUUCACCCAGAACUUUCGUGGGGAAAGAAAAAGAAAAGAAAAGAAAAAAAAAACAACAGAAAAACAAACACUUCUGAGUGCUUUCAGUCUCAAACAAAGCUUAAUACAUUAGUUGGCAGGAAAUCCAGGGUGGAAUUUGCCAUUAAUCUGUAGUAAGGCAACCCUUCAAACACCCGCACUGAACAAUCAAACACUUUUAAAUGUCAUUCCUCAACAAAAGCGUGCAUUGUCCCUGGAGAUGCCCCGGUGGCACUAACCUUUCCAGAAUGGGGAGAAUAAAUCUCUUCACUUCUCAGGUUGAGUGCUAAACGGAACUUUCUAGAGUUUCUCACCACCAGGCCUCCUGCAGGCACAUUUCAGCUCAAGGAGUCUCUUAAUGGACCAGCUUUUCUCCUCUGGUGGUGUUUUAUAUGCAGCUCUCUCUCUCUCUCUCUCUCUCUCUCUCUCUCUCUCUCUCUCUCUCUCUCUCUCUCUGUUGGGUGUGUACACAUCUGUGCCUUCUUUUCAAAAAACUGAAAUUGUUCUUCAUGAUGCCAAAGACAAGUAGAAAGUUCACCCUUCAACCCCCAUGCCUCUCGGCCUCUGGAAUGGGAUAGUUAAGAUUUAUCGAGCACUUGUUAUGCACCAGAGGCUGUUGUCUCAAUCCACAGCACACUACAGGUCUGCUUGCUGAUUCCACUCUCUAGACCAUGGUUUUGCAGCUGAUGUUCCAGUGCUGUAUUGCUAUUGUUGUUGUUACUUUGUUGCUGUGACAAAUGACCCGACAGAGAAGACUCAAAGAAAAGCACUUUCUUUGGGUUCCCAGUUUGGGGGUAGAAUCCACCAUGGCUAGAAAAGUGAUGUGACAGAAGUAUAAGGUAAGUCAGGACCCUGGUCCAUGGGCUGUGGUCACCCGUGUUCAGAGUGGAUUUUCCCUCUUCAGUCACAUCUCUUGGGGACUACCUUCACAGACAUGCCCUGCAGUUUGUCUCCUACAAGAUUCUAAGUCUGUCAAGUUAACAGUCAAGAUUAAUCAACACAAUUACUGUAUUGAUUUAGUAGAUCUGAAAAAAAAAAAGAUUUCUCUAUUUUCAUCUACCAGGAAAAAGAACCAAGGAGCAAUGAGUGCCCACUGGGGUCAGUGUUAUGCCAACACUUCUGUGUUUAAGUUUCUUGACAUGUUUUGUACCAGGUGUCUUCUUGACUAAUUAUAUAUGAGGCGUCUCUAAGGACUUACCUGUCAAUAACAGACAAUAACUGGUUGGCUUACUCCUGCAGCCCAGGUGCAGGAGCCACAGCUCCGACUCUCCAGCUUCAAAAAAGGGCUGAGCACUGGGAAGUCCUUAGAUUUGAUGAGUCUCCUCCAUAUUCUCCCUCCCUCUCUUGUUUCCUCUUUCCUACUCUCUCAUUACAACAGAGAAACAGGGUAGAUAUCCCAGGCCUCAAACUUGUGACCGUUCGACUUCUGCAUUCUAAGUGCUGAGAUUACAGUGGGGCCCACUGUGCCUAGCUUCUAACGUAAUGACUGCCAGUUUGUUUGAGUAAAGAAAGUAUACUUUUAUCCACUGACUGGAUUUAUCCAGUGAUUGGGAGAACGUAAAAAUAAACGGAAGCACAUUAUCAGAGGUCAGAAGAGCGCAGCUGGAGGAGGCCUCAUGACCUUGAGGAUUUCCCUGCUCCAGCUGUCAAUCAUCUUCUCUGACUCCCACGACACUGGAAAACACACACUCAAUGUGACAGGUGUCUGCUGGGUACGCCUAUGACAGACAGUUGGGAAAGCUGCCUUCCCAGCCAUGGGAAUUUGGCAUUUCCCUGACUUCGUCUGCUCUUCUUCCAAAUCCCCAAAGCAUCUAAGUUCAGAGGCCUCCCAGGGAGUUAGUUUGUACAUGAGCCAAAGUUACGUAAGGUUAUGAGACAGAAGAAAGGCUGCGUGAAGCCGGACUGAGUGUGACACAAUCGUGAGGGAGCUGCUACAGGAGGCGGGGGCCCAGCCCCAGCUUGAAUGGAAGGGAGGUGAACCUCCACCUCUUUCACGGGAACUGCCUUGGAUGUGAUCUCAGGCCCUCUCAAGGGACCGGAGUGGAGACCUGGCACUGCUGAUGGGAACAAUGGGCUCUUGGAGGAUAUCCUUGGGCAGUGGGCGGGGCUGUGAGGGGUCGUAGCCUCCCUGCUCCACCUGGAAACAGGGCUGGCUGGCUGGCUUGGAGGUUAAGAGAAUUUGCUGGUUUUUCUGGAGGAAGUGAGUUGGCGUCCCAGCACCCAUGUCAAGUGAUUCACAACCUCCUGUGUCCCCAGCUAUAGAGGAGCUGACAGCCAUUAAAGGUAGGCUGUGGCAAGGGGGAAUUGUACUUCCAAGUCUCUUCUUGAGAAAGACUGAAUCAUUCCACAGCUUCAGGUAGGUUGCAGAUCCUUCCAGACAUGUUACUCAUGGGAAGCCAUCUUCCUCGAGAUCACACAUUCCACAGGUAGUACCCAGACAAAGAGCACCUACUGAGGAAUUUCCUAUGAACCACUGUUUGAACUUGUCCCCCAGGAUAUGAAGCCAGAGGUGCAACUAGUCAGAAAAGGCAGAGGCUGAGCUUAGGAAAGCUUCAAGUGAUACAGGUUGUGGGUCUGUGUGUUUUGUUUGUCUACAACAAGAGGAUAGGAGCAAACUAAGUGAAGCAGAAAGAAUGGCAGCUGAAGUGGGGGAAGUCAACUAUCCCACCUGUACUGGCUGGUUUUGUGUUAUCAACUUGACACAAGCUGGAGUUAUCACAGAGAAAGGAGCCUCCCUUGAGGAAAUGCCUCCAUGAGAUCCAGCUGUAAGGCAUUUUUUUUCAGUUAGUGAUCAAGGGGGGAGGGCCCAGCCCACUGUGGGUGGUGCCAUUCCUGGGCUGGUAGUCUUGGGUUCUAUAAGAAAUCAAGCUGAGCAAACCAGGGGGAACAAGCCAGUAAGGAACAUCCCUCCAUGGCCUCUGCAUCAGCUUCUGCUUCCUGACCUGCUUGAGUUCCAGUCCUGACUUCUUUUGGUGAUGAACAGCAAUGUGGAAGUGUAAGCUGAAUAAACCCUUUCCUUCCCAACUUGCUUCUUGGUCAUGAUGUUUGUGCAGGAAUCCAUGACUAAGACAAUACCUGAGGGACAGCUUUCCUCUGGAAGACUGGGGUUUCCAUGGCAACUGUAUCCUUCUAUCUUUAUCUGGAUGACAAGAGUCCUUGAUGUUAUGUACCUAGUCUCUUUUGGGCACCCAUCGUAGUCCAUCCCAUCCAGCCACCAAUACAGCCCUCUUGAGUUUCA